rnacentral:tRNA from 1 species
GUAAACCAAAAGCUUAGGUUAAAUUAAACCAGGGGCCUUCAAAGCCCCAAACAAGGGUCCUCCCCCCCUUAGCUUUUG